rnacentral:rRNA from 1 species
CAGUAGCCGCGGUAAUACGAAGGGGGCUAGCGUUGUUCGGAUUUAUUGGGCGUAAAGCGAGCGCAGGCGGUUAGAUAAGUCUGAAGUUAAAGGCUGUGGCUUAACCAUAGUACGCUUUGGAAACUGUUUAACUUGAGUGCAAGAGGGGAGAGUGGAAUUCCAUGUGUAGCGGUGAAAUGCGUAGAUAUAUGGAGGAACACCGGUGGCGAAAGCGGCUCUCUGGCUUGUAACUGACGCUGAGGCUCGAAAGCGUGGGGCGCAAACAGGAUUAGAUACCCGAGUAGUCCCUGUCUCUUAUACA